AUUGAACGCUGGCGGCAUGCUUUACACAUGCAAGUCGAACGGUAACAGGCCGCAAGGUGCUGACGAGUGGCGAACGGGUGAGUAAUGCAUCGGAACGUGCCCAGUCGUGGGGGAUAACUACUCGAAAGAGUAGCUAAUACCGCAUACGAUCUAUGGAUGAAAGCGGGGGACCGUAAGGCCUCGCGCGAUUGGAGCGGCCGAUGUCAGAUUAGGUAGUUGGUGGGGUAAAGGCUCACCAAGCCAACGAUCUGUAGCUGGUCUGAGAGGCCGACCAGCCACACUGGGACUGAGACACGGCCCAGACUCCUACGGGAGGCAGCAGUGGGGAAUUUUGGACAAUGGGCGCAAGCCUGAUCCAGCAAUGCCGCGUGCAGGAAGAAGGCCUUCGGGUUGUAAACUGCUUUUGUACGGAACGAAACGGCUCUGGUUAAUACCCGGGGCUAAUGACGGUACCGUAAGAAUAAGCACCGGCUAACUACGUG
rnacentral:rRNA from 1 species